rnacentral:misc_RNA from 1 species
AUUGAUAUUAGUAUAUUUGUGAAACUAAACUACGUAACGACUAAAUAUUAUAGUCAAAAAAAAAAUUAUCA